rnacentral:rRNA from 1 species
GUGGGGAAUUGUUCGCAAUGGGCGCAAGCCUGACGACGCAACGCCGCGUGGAGGAUGAAGAUCUUCGGGUCGUAAACUCCUGUCGAGCGGGAAGAAUACCUUUCGAGUGAACAGCUCGGGAGGUUGACGGUACCGCGAGAGGAAGCCCCGGCUAACUCCGUGCCAGCAGCCGCGGUAAUACGGGGGGGGCAAGCGUUGUUCGGAAUUACUGGGCGUAAAGGGCUCGUAGGCGGCCGACUAAGUCUGACGUGAAAUCCCCCGGCUCAACUGGGGAACUGCGUCCGAUACUGGUGGGCUUGAGAUCGGGAGAGGGACGUGGAAUUCCAGGUGUAGCGGUGAAAUGCGUAGAUAUCUGGAGGAACACCGGUGGCGAAGGCGGCGUCCUGGACCGACACUGACGCUGAGGAGCGAAAGCCAGGGGAGCAAACGGGAUUAGAUACCCCGGUAGUCC